GACGAACGCUGGCGGCGUGCUUAACACAUGCAAGUCGAACGGAAAGGCCCUGCUUUUGUGGGGUGCUCGAGUGGCGAACGGGUGAGUAAAACGUGAGUAACCUGCCCUUGACUUUGGGAUAACUUCAGGAAACUGGGGCUAAUACCGGAUAGGAGCUCCUGCUGCAUGGUGGGGGUUGGAAAGUUUCGGCGGUUGGGGAUGGACUCGCGGCUUAUCAGCUUGUUGGUGGGGUAGUGGCUUACCAAGGUUUUGACGGGUAGCCGGCCUGGGAGGGUGACCGGCCACAUGGGGACUGAGGUACGGCCCAGACUCCUACGGGAGGCAGCAGUGGGGAAUAUUGCGCAAUGGGCGGAAGCCUGAUGCAGCGGCGCCGCGUGCGGGAUGACGGCCUUCGGGUUAUAAACCGCUUUCGCCUGUGACGAAGCGUGAGUGACGGUAAUUGGUAAAGAAGCACCGGCUAACUACGUG
rnacentral:rRNA from 1 species